AACGAACGCUGGCGGCAGGCUUAACACAUGCAAGUCGAGCGCCCCGCAAGGGGAGCGGCAGACGGGUGAGUAACGCGUGGGAAUCUACCCAUCUCUACGGAAUAACGCAUGGACACGUGUGCUAAUACCGUAUACGUCCUUCGGGAGAAAGGUUUAUCGGAGAUGGAUGAGCCCGCGUUGGAUUAGCUAGUUGGUGGGGUAAAGGCAUACCAAGGCGACGAUCCAUAGCUGGUCUGAGAGGAUGAUCAGCCACACUGGGACUGAGACACGGCCCAGACUCCUACGGGAGGCAGCAGUGGGGAAUAUUGGACAAUGGGCGCAAGCCUGAUCCAGCCAUGCCGCGUGAGUGAUGAAGGCCCUAGGGUUGUAAAGCUCUUUCACCGGUGAAGAUAAUGACGGUAACCGGAGAAGAAGCCCCGGCUAACUUCGUGCCAGCCGCCGCAGUAAUAC
rnacentral:rRNA from 1 species